ACUAAAGAUUCCACAUGCUGUGCAACAAAGUGAAUCAGAUGUACCUCAUGUGGAAUCUUUAGCU
ensembl:miRNA